rnacentral:misc_RNA from 1 species
CGAAAUGCGAUACUUGGUGUGAAUUGCAGAAUCCCGUGAACCAUCGAGUCUUUGAACGCAAGUUGCGCCCAAAGCCGUCAGGCCGAGGGCACGUCUGCCUGGGUGUCACGCAUCGUCGUCCCCCUCCCACCUGGCGCACUCGCUCGGGUGAGCGUGGAGACGGAGACUGGUCUCCCGUGUGGUACCGCAUGCGGUUGGCCCAAAAUCGAGCCACGGGCGCGGAGCGUCCCGACAAGCGGUGGUGUAUAGAUGCCUCGUGGUAAUGUCGGCUGCUCCCGUCCCUACUGACUCUACGACCCUUAUAGAGCUGCUAUGGCGACUCUCCGAACGCGACCCCAGGUCAGGCGGGACCACCCGCUGAGUUUAAGC